rnacentral:rRNA from 1 species
AUACGGAGGGUGCGAGCGUUGUUCGGAAUUAUAGGGCGUAAAGAGCAUGUAGGCGGUCUGUUAAGUCUGGUGUGAAAGCCCGGGGCUCAACCCCGGAAGUGCAUUGGAUACUGGCAGACUUGAGUAUGGGAGAGGAAAGCGGAAUUCCGAGUGUAGGAGUGAAAUCCGUAGAUAUUCGGAGGAACACCAGUGGCGAAGGCGGCUUUCUGGACCAAUACUGACGCUGAGAUGCGAAAGCGUGGGGAGCAAACAGGAUUAGAAACCCCGGUAGUCC